CCUUUAAUUCACUAAGCAUAUUAUAUAUCAGCGUAUAUAUUAAUCAUUUUCAAAAAUCUCACCAUCUUCAUUGCAUUUUCAGGGUUUAUAAAAUUGUCGAUGUAGUUGGGCAGUAUACCGUUUAUCAAUCGCUCGUUAUUGUAUAGUGGGCAAUGGCUUAUAAUAUGAGUAACCGUGAUGGCCGUAUUGCAGUGAUUACAUUGUCGUGACGGUGCAUUUUCACGUUGUCCUCUCUCGAAGCAUCUUGUAGCGUGUAUAGUGUCGUUGGAAUAGGUUUUAUCUGCGACAGGUGUCUUCUGAUGUCACUUGCCACCAUGAAAUUUACAUCUGUCUGCUGGUUCGAUAUCGCUCUACGAGCGGCCUGGUCUGCUUGUUCGUUGCCAAAGAUACCAACGUGGCUAGGGACCCAAAUAAAUUCGAGUGAUUUACCUUGCUCCGAAAUACGAUGUAUAGCAGACUGUAGCAUGAUGUUCAUCGGAUCUGUGUUGUAGAUUUUCUUUAGCCCAUUUAGGAGAUUCAUACAGUCCGUAACAACUAAAAAUCGGUUGUUUUCCAUCAUUGAACAGUAUAGCACAGCCUGCCAUAGGGCAUACUGCUCUGCAAAGAUGGGCGAAGAGUUUGUAUUCAAGCUCCACUCGUAUGCUACGCCCUCGGUGACUAUAGCACUUCCCACCCCAUACGCGUUCUUGGACCCAUCCGUGUACACAGGUUGGUAUGAGGGAUAUUCGUUAAGGAGGUUCUCGUAUGCCUGCAGGUACCUUCCACGGGACAGUGUCCAGCAUCAUUUCAUGGAGCGGCGCUGGAGGGACUAUUCGGCGUUGCUCGAGAUGUUCCUGGAAUCUGAUACAGGCAGGGCGGGUAAUGUGUCCAAGGGCGGUACUCCCGACUCACAAUAUAAGCUGUUCGUCGGACUGGUAGGAAAAGCUCCAAGACAGUACCUUAUGGCUGUGUUAUGUAUGCUGUUCAAGGUUGCAAGUGUCGAUUUACGCGCGGACGAAUACACUAUGCAGCCGUAGUCAAUUUUCGACAAAAUCACAGCCUGGUAUAUUCUUAUGAGGCAUUUUGUUUCUGCACCCCACUUGGUGUGCGCCAGUACCUUAAUUAUAUUGAGACUUUGGAGGCAUUUUUUUUUAACUGUUUUAGGUGCGGUUCCCAGGUAAGGGAAUCAUCGAGUGUAAGGCCCAGGAACUUUGCGGUACGAAGACAUCUGAUUGGAUCGCCUGACAAGAAUAAUACGGGGUCAUAGUGCGGUUUACGUAAUCUGCAAAAGUGUACACAUUGAGUUUUCUCUCUAGAGAAGCUCAGGCCGAUACUAUUUCCAUUCGUAGUUAUUUGAUCUAUCGCGGGUUGGAGUUUACGGGUUAUUUCUCCAACAGUUUUACCCGAGCAGAACAGGGCGAUGUCAUCGACGUAUAGGCAUUUGGAGCAAUCUAUGGAGACAUUCGAUGCAAUAUCAUUAAUUGCCAGAGCAAACAAGGUGCAGCUCAGGGUAGAUCCUUGCGGGACUCCAUUUUCGAGCAUUUUGGUCUCAGAAAAUGUGUCUCCAAUUCUGACCCGAAAACGUCUGUGACUUAAGAACGACUUUAUUAACAGGGGCAGGUUUCCUCUAAAAUUUAGAUUAAACAGUUUUUUUAGUAUGCCAUGUCUCCAUGUCAUAUCAUAUGCUGCCUUUAUAUCGAAAAAGACAGCGAUCAGGUGUUUUCUCUCACGGAAAGUUUCCUGAAUCGCAUGCUCGAGUAGGAUCAGGUGAUCAGUUGUAGAUCUGUGCCUUCUAAACCCAGCCUGAUAUGGAACUAGUGCAUUGUGUUUUUCCAGGUACCAUUGCAGUCUGUUAUUAAUCAUCCUCUCCCAUAGUUUUCCCAUACAGCAUGUGAGGCUGAUUGGACGGUAGCUGGCCGGACUCAGUGGAUUUUUGCUAGGCUUGAGAAUCGGUACAACAACUGCCUCUUUCCAAUCUUCUGGGUGUGAGAUUAAGCAGCAUUUCAUAGGGUAUCAAAUCAUGCCCAGGCGCUGUCCUUUUGCAUCGUUUGAGAGCAAACUCGAGUUCUUCGAUAAUAAAUGACGCGUUAUAUUCUAGAUCACUGGUUGCUUCAAAGAAUAGCUCCGCUUCUCUUUCAUUUUUCACGUUGGAGAAAACGA